UCCGGUUGAUCCUGCCAGAGGUUACUGCUAUCGGAGUUCGAGUAAGCCAUGCGAGUCUAAAGGUUUCUUUCGGGAAGCCUUGGCGGACUGCUCAGUAACACGUGGAUAACCUACCCUUAGGACUGGGAUAACCCCGGGAAACUGGGGAUAAUACCGGAUAGAUCAGGGAUGCUGGAAUGCGCCUUGAUCCAAAGCUCCGGCGCCCAAGGAUGGGUCUGCGGCCUAUCAGGUAGUAGUGGGUGUAACGUACCUACUAGCCAACGACGGGUACGGGUUGUGAGAGCAAGAGCCCGGAGAUGGAUUCUGAGACACGAAUCCAGGCCCUACGGGGUGCAGCAGGCGCGAAACCUUUACAAUGUGCGAAAGCAUGAUAAGGGAACUCCGAGUGCCAGUAUCUAAUACUGGCUGUCCUUGUGCCUAAAACGCACAAGAUAGCAAGGGCCGGGUAAGACCGGUGCCAGCCGCCGCGGUAAUACCGGCGGCCCGAGUGGUAGCCGCUAUUAUUGGGUCUAAAGGGUCCGUAGCCGGUUCGAUAAGUCCUCUGGGAAAUCUGGUUGCUUAACAAUCAGACUGCCAAGGGAUACUGUCGAACUUGAGACCGGGAGAGGUAAGAGGUACUUCAGGGGUAGGAGUGAAAUCUUGUAAUCCCUGGGGGACCAUCUGUGGCGAAGGCGUCUUACCAGAACGGGUUCGACGGUGAGGGACGAAAGCUGGGGGCACAAACCGGAUUAGAUACCCGGGUAGUCCCAGCUGUAAACGAUGCUCGCUAGGUGUCAGAUACGGUGCGACCGUGUUUGGUGCCGCAGGGAAGCCGUUAAGCGAGCCACCUGGGAAGUACGGUCGCAAGGCUGAAACUUAAAGGAAUUGGCGGGGGAGCAC
rnacentral:rRNA from 1 species